rnacentral:rRNA from 1 species
GACGAACGCUGGCGGCGUGCUUAACACAUGCAAGUCGAACGAAGUGGCGAACGGGUGAGUAACGCGUAAUCAACUUGCCCUUCAGAGGGGGACAACAGUUGGAAACGACUGCUAAUACCGCAUACUGAAGGAGGGGAUUGGGUCUGAUUAGCUAGUUGGGUGGGUAACGGCCAACCAAGGCGAUGAUCAGUAGGCGGUCUUAGAGGAUGAACGGCCAAAAUGGGACUUGGACACGGCCCAGACUCCUACGGGAGGCAGCCGUGGGGAAUCUUCCGCAAUGGACGAAAGUCUGACGGAGCAAAGCCGCGUGAGUGAUGACGGCCUUCGGGUUGGAAAGCUCUGUUAAUCGGGACGCGGUACCGGAAUAGAAAGCCACGGCUAACUACGUGCCAGCCGCCGCGGUAAUAC